rnacentral:rRNA from 1 species
UAGUCCGUACGAGCGCACCCUUGUCCCUAGUUGCCAGCACUUCGGGUGGGAACUCUAGGGAGACUGCCGGUGAUAAACCGGAGGAAGGUGGGGAUGACGUCAAGUCAUCAUGGCCCUUAUGGGGAGGGCUACACACGUGCUACAAUGGCCGGUACAGAGGGCUGCGAAGCCGCGAGGUGGAGCGAAUCUCAGAAAACCGGUCGUAGUCCGGAUUGCAGUCUGCAACUCGACUGCAUGAAGCCGGAAUCGCUAGUAAUCGCGGAUCAGAACGCCGCGGUGAAUACGUUCCCGGGCCUUGUACACACCGCCCGUCACACCAUGGGAGUGGGCUGUACCAGAAGUAGGUAGUCUAACCUUCGGGAGGACGCUUACCACGGUGUGGUUCAUGACUGGGGUGAAGUCGUAACAAGGUAGCCCUAGGGGAACCUGGGGCUGGAUCACCUCCUUU